GGGGAAUUUUGCGCAAUGGGCGAAAGCCUGACGCAGCGACGCCGCGUGGGUGACGAAGGCCCUCGGGUUGUAAAGCCCUGUGGGGAGGGAAGAAUAAGGGGCGGCUAACAUCCGCACCGAUGACGGUACCUCCUUAGCAAGCACCGGCUAACUUUGUGCCAGCAGCCGCGGUAAGACAGAGGGUGCAAACGUUGUUCGGAAUUACUGGGCGUAAAGCGCGUGUAGGCGGCUACGCAAGUCGGAUGUGAAAGCCCUUGGCUCAACUGAGGAAGUGCAUUCGAAACUGCGUAGCUCGAGUCCCGGAGAGGAUGGUGGAAUUCUCGGUGUAGAGGUGAAAUUCGUAGAUAUCGAGAGGAACACCAGUGGCGAAGGCGGCCAUCUGGACGGUGACUGACGCUGAGGCGCGAAAGCGUGGGGAGCAAAC
rnacentral:rRNA from 1 species